rnacentral:rRNA from 1 species
UACAGAGGGUGCAAGCGUUGUUCGGAAUCAUUGGGCGUAAAGGGCGCGUAGGCGGUUCGAUAAGUCCCGUGUGAAAUCCCUCGGCUCAACUGAGGAAUGGCACGGGAAACUGACGGGCUUGAGUUCGGGAGAGGGAAGCGGAAUUCCGGGUGUAGCGGUGAAAUGCGUAGAUAUCCGGAGGAAUACCGGUGGCGAAGGCGGCAUCCUGGACCGGCAUUGACGCUGAGGAGCGAAAGCUAGGGGAGCAAACGGG